CGAUGAAGCCCAGCUUGCUGGGUGGAUUAGUGGCGAACGGGUGAGUAACACGUGAGUAACCUGCCCUUGACUCUGGGAUAAGCGCUGGAAACGGCGUCUAAUACCGGAUAUGACAACCGACGGCAUCGUCUGGUUGUGGAAAGAAUUUUGGUCAAGGAUGGACUCGCGGCCUAUCAGCUUGUUGGUGAGGUAAUGGCUCACCAAGGCGACGACGGGUAGCCGGCCUGAGAGGGUGACCGGCCACACUGGGACUGAGACACGGCCCAGACUCCUACGGGAGGCAGCAGUGGGGAAUAUUGCACAAUGGGCGAAAGCCUGAUGCAGCAACGCCGCGUGAGGGACGACGGCCUUCGGGUUGUAAACCUCUUUUAGCAGGGAAGAAGCGAAAGUGACGGUACCUGCAGAAAAAGCACCGGCUAACUACGUGCC
rnacentral:rRNA from 1 species